rnacentral:lncRNA from 1 species
UCUAGGAAGUCAGUGUGAAUUGGCCUUAGGAACGUUCCCUGCCUCCAGACCCUAUUCUCCUCCCUCAUUGGUGCCGACGGAGAGACACAAAAAACAGAAAGUUCUGGGAACCAGCCCACCUUGACCAUCUUUCUGCACAUCAGUUUCAUUCUCUUACUGCUGAUGGCUUCCUCGCCCUCUACUACAUGAAUUUGCUGCUUCGUCAUACCUUUGUCUUCCUUUGGCAUGGACUGAGGCUCCAGAACAAACAAUGAGGCAAUGUCUGCAGAGUGCUAUCAAGGCUGUGCAAAUAAAUAAAAUGGACAUUCAUAGAAACUAAUGUUCAUUUCCAUUAGAAGGCUUCAUGGAGAAGGUGGCAAUCUGAGCUCAACCUUGAAAAAUGAUCCCUAAGAAAACAUUUUAGGCAGA